AUCGACCGUGGGCUACACACGUGCUAACAAGUGGUUGUACAACGAGUUGCGAGUCGGUGACGGCGAGCUAAUCUCUUAAAGCCAAUCUCAGUUCGGAUUGUAGGCUGCAACUCGCCUACAUGAAGUCGGAAUCGCUAGUAAUCGCGGAUCAGCACGCCGCGGUGAAUACGUUCCCGGGCCUU
rnacentral:rRNA from 1 species